GCUGGGGUAGCCAAGGCGGUCACGGCGCGGGUCUGAAAAACCUGAGAUCUCAGUUCGAUUCUGAGCCCCAGCA
rnacentral:tRNA from 3 species